GGGAAGGUGGCUCAGUGGUAGAGCUCUUGCCUUGCAUGCUCGAGGCCCUGGGUUCGAU
rnacentral:tRNA from 1 species